AUUGAACGCUGGCGGCAGGCCUAACACAUGCAAGUCGAGCGGAUGAAGGGAGCUUGCUCCUGGAUUCAGCGGCGGACGGGUGAGUAAUGCCUAGGAAUCUGCCUGGUAGUGGGGGAUAACGUCCGGAAACGGGCGCUAAUACCGCAUACGUCCUGAGGGAGCAAGUGGGGGAUCUUCGGACCUCACGCUAUCAGAUGAGCCUAGGUCGGAUUAGCUAGUUGGUGGGGUAAAUGCCUACCAAGGCGACCAUCCGUAACUGGUCUGAGAGGAUGAUCAGUCACACUGGAACUGAGACACGGUCCAGACUCCUACGGGAGGCAGCAGUGGGGAAUAUUGGACAAUGGGCGAAAGCCUGAUCCAGCCAUGCCGCGUGUGUGAAGAAGGUCUUCGGAUUGUAAAGCACUUUAAGUUGGGAGGAAGGGCAGUAAGUUAAUACCUUGCUGUUUUGACGUUACCAACAGAAUAAGCACCGGCUAACUUCGUG
rnacentral:rRNA from 1 species